UACGUAGGGCGCAAGCGUUGUCCGGAAUUAUUGGGCGUAAAGAGCUCGUAGGCGGCCUGUUGCGUCCGCUGUGAAGUCCCGGGGCUCAACCCCGGGCCUGCAGUGGAUACGGGCUGGCUAGAGGCAGGCAGGGGAGAACGGAAUUCCUGGUGUAGCGGUGAAAUGCGCAGAUAUCAGGAGGAACACCGGUGGCGAAGGCGGUUCUCUGGGCCUGUACUGACGCUGAGGAGCGAAAGCGUGGGGAGCGAACAGG
rnacentral:rRNA from 1 species